AGUGGCGAACGGGUGAGUAAUGUAUCGGAACGUACCCAGUCGUGGGGGAUAACUAUCCGAAAGGAUAGCUAAUACCGCAUACGUCCUGAGGGAGAAAGCGGGGGAUCGCAAGACCUCGCGCGAUUGGAGCGGCCGAUAUCGGAUUAGCUAGUUGGUGAGGUAAAGGCUCACCAAGGCGACGAUCCGUAGCGGGUCUGAGAGGACGACCCGCCACACUGGAACUGAGACACGGUCCAGACUCCUACGGGAGGCAGCAGUGGGGAAUUUUGGACAAUGGGGGAAACCCUGAUCCAGCCAUUCCGCGUGAGUGAAGAAGGCCUUCGGGUUGUAAAGCUCUUUCAGCAGGAACGAAACGGUCGGCUUUAAUAAAGUCGGCUAAUGACGGUACCUGCAGAAGAAGCACCGGCUAACUACGUGCCAGCAGCCGCGGUAAUACGUAGGGUGCGAGCGUUAAUCGGAAUUACUGGGCGUAAAGCGUGCGCAGGCGGCGACAUAAGACAGAUGUGAAAUCCCCGGGCUCAACCUGGGAACUGCGUUUGUGACUGUGUUGCUAGAGUGUAGCAGAGGGGGGUGGAAUUCCACGUGUAGCAGUGAAAUGCGUAGAGAU
rnacentral:rRNA from 1 species